AAGAUAGCUGUAUUAGUGUCUAGAUCCCAAAAUGGGCUGAGGAAGAAUAAACAUGCAAUUGAAGCUGGAGACAUACUAUGAACAGGUGCAGUUGUCUGGAAAUUAGGUGGAUAGCCAAUGUGGAAAGAGGCUUUUUAUAAAAUUUUCCACCCCAUCGAUCCAGAAACUCUAUCUCUUCUCCCAGAAGUUGACAGCGACUCACCACAAGAGAGACAUGAUGCAGUAUCUGAUGGGGAAUUGGAGCAACUAAUCAUUACAUUUUAA